rnacentral:rRNA from 1 species
GAUCCUGGCUCAGGACGAACGCUGGCGGCGUGCCUAAUACAUGCAAGUAGAACGCUGAAGGAGGAGCUUGCUUCUCUGGAUGAGUUGCAACGGGUGAGUAACGCGUAGGUAACCUGCCUGGUANCGGGGGAUAACUAUUGGAAACGAUAGCUAAUACCGCAUAACAGUAGAUGUUGCAUGACAUUUGCUUAAAAGGUGCAAUUGCAUCAUACCAGAUGGACCUGCGUUG